GGUAACGGGGGGCACGCGGCCGCGGUAAUACAGGUGGGGCAAGCGGUAGUCGGAAUGAUUGGGCGUAGAGGGCGCGUAGGCGGUUUCGUAAGUCGGAUGUGCAAUCCCCGGGCUCAACCCGGGAACUGCAUCCGAGACUGGGAGGCUAGAGUACUGGAGAGGUUGGUGGAAUUCCUCGUGUAGCGGUGAAAUGCGUAGAGAUGAGGAGGAACACCAGUGGCGAAGGCGGCCAACUGGACAGUAACUGACGCUGAGGCGCGAAAGCGUGGGUAGCAAACAGGAUUAGAUACCCUUGUAGUC
rnacentral:rRNA from 1 species